UUGUGAAAUAAAAACUAAGUAAGAAC
rnacentral:piRNA from 1 species